rnacentral:RNase_P_RNA from 1 species
GGGGGUCCGUCGCUUGUCUUUCCUGUACAGGACAAGAGGAAAGUCCGGGCAACACAGAGCACCACACUCCCUUCGGGGAGCCGGCGGAAACGUCGGAGCAGAAUGACAGAAAACAACCGCCGUCCCCUCCGUGGGACGGUAAGGGUGAAAAGGCGGGGUAAGAGCCCACCGGGCGCGAUGGCGACAUUGCGUGCCGCAUUCCUUUUGGGUUGCAAGGUCAAGUAUACCGGCAUCUAAGGGCUGCUCGUCCAUUGCCGGGGGGUAGACUGCUCAGAUAAAUGACGGACGGUAAAAUUUACGUCGUCGCCCUCCGGGGCGGCGAAACGGAGUUCCCACAUAACCCGGCUUAUACCCGGC